UUUUCUAUUCCGAUUGAGCUGUUCUUCCACAUCUAUGCGGAUCAGAUGUGUCCGCAUGUAAACGCGGAGUUACAUGCACACUCACUGACGGCUGAUUCGCCCGCUCCUCCUGUCCACGCGCAAUGCUUGAGGUCAAUGGAAAAAUUUAUUUGGCACAGAGAAGACGGUCUGCGACAUUUGCAGUUUACCAAAGAUGAGUAUUGAAAAGUUUUUUCUGCACCAAAAAAGGCCUCGUCCAGACGACGCGGAGCAGCUUGAGGAGGCAUCAAACAGUGCUGAACAACCCAGUGCUUCUCAGGGUCCGGGCUGUUCAGGAGAGAUACUGAUUAAUAUAGGCCAGGAGGACAGCAGACAAAAUGUUGCUGAAACAACAGGUCAUCCAACCCUACAUUACUGGCCUGGAGACAGAACUGAAAAGGAGGUUCCAGGAGCUGGACAUCCUAGGAGCCUUCCAUGUCCUUAGACCUCAGUCGGCUGCCCUCCCUGACAAUAUGUGCAUUGCAUUCAUUAUUUUAGUUAGUUGCCUUGUUGUACCUAGUAGUAUAUUGUUACUAUUUAUUUUAUUUUUCCUAAAAAAGUUAAAUAUUGGUUCAGGUAGGUCUUGCGCACCACACAUUGGACUUGGUCUGUG
ensembl:lncRNA